AGAUUGAACGCUGGCGGCAGGCCUAACACAUGCAAGUCGAGCGGUAGAGAGGUGCUUGCAUCUCUUGAGAGCGGCGGACGGGUGAGUAAUGCCUAGGAAUCUGCCUAGUGGUGGGGGAUAACGUUCGGAAACGGACGCUAAUACCGCAUACGUCCUACGGGAGAAAGGCGGGGGACCUUCGGGCCUCGCGCCAUUAGAUGAGCCUAGGUCGAUUAGCUAGUUGGUGAGGUAAUGGCUCACCAAGGCGACGAUCCGUAACUGGUCUGAGAGGAUGAUCAGUCACACGUGGAACUGAGACACGGUCCAGACUCCGUACGGGAGCAGCAGGUGGGAAUAGUUAGGACAAGUGGGACGAAAGCCGUGACUCCAGCCAGUCGCCGUCGUGUGGUAGAAAGGUAAGGUUCGUUACGGUAAGUUUA
rnacentral:rRNA from 1 species